rnacentral:rRNA from 1 species
UACGGGGGGGGGCAAGCGUUGUUCGGGAAUUACUGGGCGUAAAGGGCUCGUAGGCGGCCAACUAAGUCAGACGUGAAAUCCCCUCGGCUUAACCGGGGAACUGCCUCUGAUACUGGAUGGCUUGAGAUUGGGAGAGGGAUGCGGAAUUCCAGGUGUAGCGGUGAAAUGCGUAGAUAUCUGGAGGAACACCGGUGGCGAAGGCGGCAUCCUGGACCAACACUGACGCUGAGGAGCGAAAGCCAGGGGAGCAAACGGG